rnacentral:rRNA from 1 species
CGCAGAUACCAGGUGGCUGCAACUGUUUAUUAAAAACACAGCACUGUGCAAAAUCGUAAGAUGACGUAUACGGUGUGACGCCUGCCCGGUGCCGGAAGGUUAAUUGAUGGGGUUAGACUUCGGUCGAAGCUCUUGAUCGAAGCCCCGGUAAACGGCGGCCGUAACUAUAACGGUCCUAAGGUAGCGAAAUUCCUUGUCGGGUAAGUUCCGACCUGCACGAAUGGCGUAAUGAUGGCCACGCUGUCUCCACCCGAGACUCAGUGAAAUUGAAAUCGCUGUGAAGAUGCAGUGUACCCGCGGCUAGACGGAAAGACCCCGUGAACCUUUACUACAGCUUGGCACUGAACAUUGACCCUACAUGUGUAGGAUAGGUGGGAGGCUUUGAAGCACGUACGCCAGUAUGUGUGGAGCCGUCCUUGAAAUACCACCCUUGUAGUGUUGAUGUUCUAACGUCGACCCCUUAUCGGGGUUGCGGACAGUGCCUGGUGGGUAGUUUGACUGGGGCGGUCUCCUCCCAAAGAGUAACGGAGGAGCACGAAGGUGGGCUAAUCACGGUUGGACAUCGUGAGGUUAGUGCAAUGGCAUAAGCCCGCUUGACUGCGAGAAUGACAAUUCGAGCAGGUGCGAAAGCAGGUCAUAGUGAUCCGGUGGUUCUGAAUGGAAGGGCCAUCGCUCAACGGAUAAAAGGUACUCCGGGGAUAACAGGCUGAUACCGCCCAAGAGUUCAUAUCGACGGCGGUGUUUGGCACCUCGAUGUCGGCUCAUCACAUCCUGGGGCUGAAGUCGGUCCCAAGGGUAUGGCUGUUCGCCAUUUAAAGUGGUACGCGAGCUGGGUUUAGAACGUCGUGAGACAGUUCGGUCCCUAUCUGCCGUGGGCGUUGGAAGAUUGAAGGGGGCUGCUCCUAGUACGAGAGGACCGGAGUGGACGAACCUCUGGUGUUCGGGUUGUGUCGCCAGACGCAUUGCCCGGUAGCUAAGUUCGGAAUCGAUAACCGCUGAAAGCAUCUAAGCGGGAAGCGAGCCCUGAGAUGAGUCUUCCCUGAUACUUUAAGUAUCCUAAAGGGUUGUCGGAGACUACGACGUUGAU